rnacentral:misc_RNA from 1 species
AACAAGGCGUACCUGCGGACCUGCGGAGGGAUCAUUACCGAGUGUGAACCCCCCCGUAAAAAAGAGGGGUUACCUCCCGUCCUUUGCCGGGAACCCCUUUCCAACUUGGAAGGAGGUUGUUUUCAGACCCUUCUGCUUCGGUGGGGUAACCCACCGGAACAACCUCAAAAAUAUUCUCAAUUCAAAACCGUUCAGUCCGAGAACUUUUUUGAAAAGCGAAAAAACUUUCAACAACGGAUC